UCUAUAAUGGCAGAUAAGUGCAUUGAACUUAAGAUUCAAAUAAGGAGUUAUCCUUGUAGAU
rnacentral:tRNA from 1 species